rnacentral:rRNA from 1 species
UGAUAAGGUCCAUUGUCAAGAGGGAAACAGCCCAGAACACCGACUAAGGUCCCAAAUGUUACACUAAGUGGCGAAGGAUGUGGAAUUUCCAAAACAACCAGGAUGUUGGCUUAGAAGCAGCCACCAUUUAAAGAGUGCGUAAUAGCUCACUGGUCGAGAGACUCUGCGCCGAAAAUGUCCGGGGCUAAAGUAUGAAACCGAAGUCGUGUCAUAUGCAGCAAUGUAUAUGGGUAGGGGAGCGUUCUCAUCGGAUUGAAGCAGUACCGUAAGGAGUUGUGGACUGAUGAGAAGUGAGAAUGUCGGUAUGAGUAGCGAAAAGAAUGGUGAGAAUCCAUUCCACCGAAAGCCUAAGGGUUCCUGAGCAACGAUCGUCGUCUCAGGGUAAGUCGGGACCUAAGCCGAGGCGGAAAAGCGUAGGCGAUGGACAACAGGUUGAAAUUCCUGUACCGGUGUGAAUCGUUUGAUCGAUGGAGUGACACAGUAAGGUAGGUCAGCACGCGAUUGGAAGUGCGUGUUUAAGCAUGUAGGUUGAGUUAUAGGCAAAUCCGUAACUCUAAAAGCUGAGAUGUGAUGACGAGCUGUUUACAGCGAAGUGAUUGAUCCUACACUGUCGAGAAAAGCUUCUAGGUAGAGACACAUCGCCCGUACCAAAACCGACACAGGUAGGCGGGGAGAGAAUCCUAAGGUGCGCGGGAAAACCCUCGUUAAGGAACUCGGCAAAAUGGCCCCGUAACUUCGGGAGAAGGGGCGCUGACUUAUGGUCAGCCGCAGUGAAUAGGCCCAAGCAACUGUUUAUCAAAAACACAGCUCUCUGCUAAAUCGUAAGA